rnacentral:lncRNA from 1 species
UUGUAAAUUGCAAGUGAGUUGGGGCUUCUGAUUGGACCUUGUGGUGGUUGGAUCUGCUGACAGAUAGGGAGAAGCAUGAUAGGUUGCUACUGCUGCACCUAUUAUUUGAUUUCUCUCAAUGUUUCAAUCAGUUUAUCUAAAGCAUGAUUUUAAUAUGCAAUUUUAUCAGUCCGAGAUUACCUGAAUGAUUCGUGGAAAUUAGAAUGUGGGGAUCUCAAAGAAUGUUUCACAAGAAAAACAAAUAUUGGCCAUUUCCAAACUUGCUCGGUGGUCGAGGUACUAUAGAGGA